ACGAACGCUGGCGGCAUGCCUAACACAUGCAAGUUGAACGAAGAUGCAGCUUCGGCUGUAGACUGAGUGGCGCACGGGUGAGUAACGCGUGGGAAUUUACCUAUUGGUGGGGGACAACUGUUGGAAACGACAGCUAAUACCGCAUAAGCUCUACGGAGGAAAGAUUUAUCGCCAAUGGAUAAGCCCGCGUCGGAUUAGGUAGUUGGUAGGGUAAUGGCCUACCAAGCCAAUGAUCUGUAGCUGGUCUGAGAGGAUGAUCAGCCACACUGGGACUGAGACACGGCCCAGACUCCUACGGGAGGCAGCAGUGGGGAAUAUUAGACAAUGGGGGAAACCCUGAUCUAGCAAUGCCGCGUGAAUGAAGAAGGCCUUAGGGUUGUAAAGUUCUUUCGCCUUUGAAGAUGAUGACUGUAGAAGGAUAAGAAGCACCGGCUAACUCCGU
rnacentral:rRNA from 1 species